AUGGUAUUGCUGCUCGCAGUGAGACUGCUAGAGUUUGAUCGACAUAUAAACAUAGAUCUCAAUGAGCCUUUGUAGUGGAUAUUGACGACAGUUGAUCCACAUAGGAGUAGGAUAUGUAUCAAGAUGGAAUCUAUCAAUAUUGAUAGAAAUGAGUAGUCCUAUAGGAUUUAAGAGGCUAAGUCUAAGAAUCUGUAGCCACAGUAGUGUGAUUAAUGAAAAAGAGUUUUCAUAGAAGUUACAACUGGACUUGAGCUAAUCGAAUCUAUCAUAUGACUGAUAUUGAGGUUUGAUGAUUUAUCCAUAACCUACCAUCUAGUCGGGACUCACG
rnacentral:lncRNA from 1 species